UCAUCAAGCCAAGGAAACACAAGCAUAGCAGCAACUCUAGGAACUUCAGCAGGCAACACUCACAACACAAAACACACAAGCAUCAAAGUCACCAAUGUCAAGGAACAUAAUGCAUCAAAGGCUCCAUUACUUCAUGAAAAGUUACUUGAAUUACCCUUUAGGAAAAGUCUUCUCUAUUCUAUUUUUAUUGUUAAGUUUGUUAUGUUAGUUACAAUUAGUUAUUUCAGUUUCAGCCUUGUUAAUUAGGCUUGUUAGUUUAGUAUAAAUAGAAU
rnacentral:lncRNA from 1 species